GGGUAGCUCAGUUGGUUAGAGCUUCGUGCUGAUUACUCCAAGGUUGCAGGGUCAAUCCCUGUAUGGAACA